CAUCACUAAUCCUAAAGGCUCCUUCUGGGAUGAAUUGACUUUCUCCGCAGCCUGCCCGCCUGCCCUCUUGCAGAUCCUGUCAAGAGGACUGCUUGUGUUGCUUUGCCUCUUUGCCCCUAUCUUUCUACUUCAAACACUGUCUGAUCUCACCUCCACUCACAAAACACAGUGCUUUAGAAAUCAUCAAACCAAACUGAGCCUAACUUCACGUAAAGCUGACUUGGUUAGAAGGAAAAGGCUAUUUUUUUUCCUGUUCCUGUUGUGGUAUUUUAUUCUUCUUUCACAAGCCAAGUUCAUCUACUUCAAGAAAGAAAAUAUCUGAUUCCAUUCACUGAUAAAGACAGUUAUCUUACGUCUACAAGUAUAAAGGAGAACCCCAUUGUUCCAGUCUUACUUUGAAUGCCCUCUUGUUCCAAGUCUUCGUGUUGUCAGGAGAGGAAACUUUUGGCGAAUUGUCUAUAAAAGAAAGAUAAAGUUUGUAACUUGUGUAGCUCUAAUGCAAGCCAUUCCUGUCCUACUAAUUUAAGAAAGUAAAUGGUGGACUAAAAGGAACACUUAAGCUACAGGAAAGUAAUACACGUGUGUUGAUAAGAAUGACAUCGAUUACCAUGGAAGAGCCUACCAAGAUCUAUUUUUGCUUGAUGUAACUACCGAAGCAAUAGUUACUUUAUUUACACACGCAGGAGGACUGUUUAGAUUCCUCUAUAAUAAUUCCAUUCAGGGGUUUACCCCCAUUAAAUAUCCAUCACCAUUCUGAAAGAAUCCUUGGAUCUGAAGAGAGCUCCAUGGAAAAUUUGAUGAAAUUAAUUACUUCUAGUUUUAUCGGAUGUUCAAGGUGCUCUGUGAUUCCCACUUAAGGAUAAUUGCCAUAAGGUAGACUCAGAAAAAUUGUAGGACUAACAUGGACAUCUAAAACUGUCUCAUCCAGCCUCAGAGGGUGCACUGAGCCUUGAGAAGACCGAUUAUCAGCAAGUAUAAAAUAAGCUAAUCACAGGCGUGGUUCUAAGCCCAUGAGCACCACGCUCCAUAUUACACUCUCUUACAAGAAAACAUGUUUUCAAAAUAAUUAAACUACUUUUUAACAUUA